rnacentral:rRNA from 1 species
UACGUAGGGGGCUAGCGUUGUCCGGAUUUAUUGGGCGUAAAGAGCGUGUAGGCGGCCAGGCAGGUCUGCUGUGAAAACUCGAGGCUUAACCUCGAGCUGUCGGCGGAAACCAUCUGGCUAGAGUCCGGAAGAGGAGAAUGGAAUUCCCGGUGUAGCGGUGAAAUGCGUAGAGAUCGGGAGGAACACCAGAGGCGAAGGCGGCUAGCUGGACAGUUACUGACACUCAACUACGAAAGCGUGGGGAGCAAACAGG